UACGUAGGUCACAAGCGUUAUCCGGAAUUAUUGGGCGUAAAGAGUGAGCAGGCGGUACGGCAAGUCUGGAGUGAAAGCGUGGGGCUUAACCCCAUACAGCUUUGGAAACUACCGAACUAGAGUGCGUGAGAGGUAAACGGAACUCCAUGUGCAGCGGUGAAAUGCGUAGAUAUAUGGAAGAACACCAGUGGCGAAGGCGGUUUACCAGCACUGCACUGACGCUCAGUCACGAAAGCGUGGGGAGCAAAUA
rnacentral:rRNA from 1 species